GCCGGGUGCAGAGGCGUAUACCUGUAAUCCCAGCAACUUGGGAGGCUGAGGCAGGAGGAUCUCAAGUUCAAGGCGGGCCUCAGCAAUUUAGCAAGAUCCUGUUUCAA
rnacentral:sRNA from 1 species